GCCCAGACUCCUACGGGAGGCAGCAGUGAGGAAUAUUGGUCAAUGGGCGAGAGCCUGAACCAGCCAAGUCGCGUGAAGGAUGACGGCCCUACGGGUUGUAAACUUCUUUUGUCAGGGAGCAAUUGAGUCCACGUGUGGGCUUAGCGAGAGUACCUGAAGAAAAAGCAUCGGCUAACUCCGUGCCAGCAGCCGCGGUAAUACGGAGGAUGCGAGCGUUAUCCGGAUUUAUUGGGUUUAAAGGGUGCGCAGGCGGAGGUGCAAGUCAGCGGUCAAAUUGCGGGGCUCAACCCCGUACUGCCGUUGAAACUGGCGGCCUCGAGUGGGCGAGAAGUAUGCGGAAUGCGUGGUGUAGCGGUGAAAUGCACAGAUAUCACGCAGAACUCCGAUUGCGAAGGCAGCAUACCGGCGCCCGUCUGACGCUGAGGCACGAAAGCGUGGGUAUCGAACAGGAUUAGAUACCCGUGUAU
rnacentral:rRNA from 1 species